UACAGAGGUCCCAAGCGUUGUUCGGAUUCACUGGGCGUAAAGGGUGCGUAGGCGGUCGGGUAAGUCUGAUAUGAAAUCUUCAAGCUCAACUUGGAAACUGCAUCGGAUACUAUUCGGCUCGAGGAAUGGAGGGGAGACUGGAAUACUUGGUGUAGCAGUGAAAUGCGUAGAUAUCAAGUGGAACACCAGUGGCGAAGGCGAGUCUCUGGACAUUACCUGACGCUGAGGCACGAAAGCCAGGGGAGCAAACGGG
rnacentral:rRNA from 1 species